rnacentral:lncRNA from 1 species
GUUCUCAUGAUAGUGAAUGGGUCUCACAAGAUCUGAUGGAUUUAAAGACGGGAGUUUCUCUGCACAAGCUCUCUCUUUUUGCCUGCUGCCGUCCACAUAAGAUGUGACUUGCUCCUCCUUGACUUUUGCCUUCCACCAUGAUUGUGAGGCCUCCCCAGCCACAUGGAACUUGUAUUCCGUUGAAAAUACCAUGGAACAUUAAGGAAAUGGUGGAGGAUGGGGUGAGGAGGCUGAGAAAAUUCAGUUACAUAACUGAAGUGCUGAAGAAUGAGGACCAAAGGGUGGAAACUGUGUGGAGGAGGAAGGAAAAUUGAAGCAUUUUCUCAGAAGAUCUGCCCCCUUACCCCACUACUCCCCCAGGACCAUCACAAUGAAGAUGGUAUCAUUACUUGCUCGUCAGAGCCAACAUUUGGACACUAUUAUUUACAAGAAGACUCUAACAAAAUUAUGCAAGAGCAAAAACUUAAGCCAGAGGACAAUGGAAAGAUUAAAAAAUGAUUUCAUAGCACGAGUAAAUGUCUAUCUAUCUGGGUCCUGCCAAACACAGAAUAGAGGGGAGAUCCUGGAGGAAUGACAGAGGAAACAAAGGCAUUUGGCUGCUAAUCUGCAACCCAAUCAUUCGUAAUCUACCAAACAAUCAUUGUCUACUUACGAUAAAUUAGAAUUGGGACAGUGUGCGAUGGAUGCUCCUCGUUCAUGGAAUACGUUCAGUUCUUCUGCAGAGAGGUAGCAGCCGUGUGCCAUCACUGUCUGGAGAGAAGAGUGCCCUACGUGGAGUUUACCGCUCACAAAUGAUUAAGUGGGUACUCACUCACAAGGUAUUUUAGAGAGAGACCGAAGCUGUAGCUUGGCUGUUAGCAUCUUCACAAGAACAUUUAUGAUGAUCUAUAUGUACAAAGUUGCUAGGUACAAGUUAUACCUUAGAAAAGGCCUGUAAACACAUUGUCUUACGAAAGUCUCAGGAAAUUUGUGGAGUUUACUUAGAUUCUUUUUGUUGAUCUAUAAAGUAAUGAGGGUUUGGUCCAGGUGAUCUACAGCACAGAAUAUCCAUCCAGAUGGAAGAUAACAUGAUUUUCUCAUCUCUACUUUAGAAGACUGUCAAGUUACUUUCUUUUCUAAGUUUAUAUGGGAAGCAACUGGUAGUGUUGUGCUUGCUCCAAUUCUAAAAAAACUUUCUAGAACUAAAAGUCCCUUCUCAGUAUGUGAAAGCUGUGAGAGUAAUCCUGCAAAGCGCUGUUCUUUAUUUCUGCUCCUAGCUUCAAUGUAAGUGCCAAUGGCCUUGAUAUUUUCAACUAAAUAAACUUUUAACUCACCUACGUUUAUAUUUUCAUAAAAACUAGGAAAUUUAACAUCUUAUAAUCAUUAAUUCAGAAAGUAAAAUUGAUCCAAGAAAGCAGGCACUGCACACACAUGAGACCUCUCUAAAUUUUUAAUGUUGGUAGUAUUUAUUUGUAGAUUUUCUUAAAUAAGACUUUACUCUUUCAAAAUUAUUUUUCUCUCAGUACAAAACCUGUACCCAACUUGCUUUCCCCUUUGAGAGGCACGGUUCAGUGACUACAGAAUUAUUAUUUUUCUGAGACAGAGUCUCACUCUGUCGCCCAGGCUGGAGUGCAGUGGCGCAAUCUCGACUCUCUGCAAGCUCCGCCUCCUGGGUUCACGCCAUUCUCCUAUCUCAGCUUCCCG